rnacentral:rRNA from 1 species
GACGAACGCUGGCGACGUGCCUAAUACAUGCAAGUUGAGCGCUGAAGGUUGGUACUUGUACCAACUGGAUGAGCAGCGAACGGGUGAGUAACGCGUGGGGAAUCUGCCUUUGAGCGGGGGACAACAUUUGGAAACGAAUGCUAAUACCGCAUAAAAACUUUAAACACAAGUUUUAAGUUUGAAAGAUGCAAUUGCAUCACUCAAAGAUGAUCCCGCGUUGUAUUAGCUAGUUGGUGAGGUAAAGGCUCACCAAGGCGAUGAUACAUAGCCGACCUGAGAGGGUGAUCGGCCACAUUGGGACUGAGACACGGCCCAAACUCCUACGGGAGGCAGCAGUAGGGAAUCUUCGGCAAUGGACGAAAGUCUGACCGAGCAACGCCGCGUGAGUGAAGAAGGGUGUCGGAUCGUAAAACUCUGUUGGUAGAGAAGAACGUUGGUGAGAGUGGAAAGCUCAUCAAGUGACGGUAACUACCCAGAAAGGGACGGCUAACUACGUG